rnacentral:rRNA from 1 species
GCCCUAGAUAACAUCUGAGGUGUAACCUGCCCAGUGGUUUUUGAUAAAAAGAAAUAAAAAUUCUUUAAAAAAACUAAAAGGACGCGGUAACCUUGACCGUGAUAAUGUAGCAUAAUCACUCGCCAUUUAAUUGGUGGAUAGUAUGAAUGGUUGAACGAAUAUUCCCCUGUCUUAAAAAGAAUUAUCAGAAAUUGAAAUAAUAGUUAAGAUGCUAUUUUUUACUGUAAGACGAAAAGACCCUAUAGAGCUUAACUAUAGUCUUUUUAUUAUAAAAGAAAAUUAAUUCUAUAAUUAAAAAGAUUGGUAGUUUAGUUGGGGCGACUGUCUUCUAUAAUUAACGAAGACAAGCAACGUUAAUAAAAAACUUAUUGUAUAACUAAAAUGUUUAACAAUUAUAAAAAUAGGCUAUAAUGACCCGUUAUUACUUUAUAAAAAGAAUAACGAUCAAUUAAUAAAAGCUACCUUAGGGAUAACAGGAUAAUUUCAUUUUAGAGCUCAUAUCGAAAAUGAAGUUUGUCACCUCUAUGUUGAAUUAAGAUAUCCUGAUAAUGCAGCAGUUAUCAAGGGUAGGUCUGUUCGACCUUUAAAAUCUU